GUCGACUCUAUUUCUAAAUUUAAGAAAGAAUUAAAAAACGAUAGUCUAGUAUGUAAAAUUGAAACGUUUUAUUUGUACGGCCCAAGGAAAUUAAAUAUUAUCUUAACGCAAUUGCGAUGUUCCGCUUCAUCCUUAAACAAUGACCUAUUUAGAGCUAACAUUAUAAAUGAUCCCUCUUGUCAUUGUGGGUCCGAUAUUGAGGAUGUCUACCAUUACUUUUUCGUUUGCCCAAAAUACACAUUAUGUAGGAAAAACUUAUUCGAUAACCUUAACUGGCUAUCUGAAAACUUUGUUUUAGAUACAAAACUAUUAAUUUGCGGACACUUGGAACUUUCGAACGAACAAAAUAUUCAAAUUUUCAAACAUGUUCAGAAUUACAUAAAAAGGUCAAACAGAUUUCUUAUGCCUUGAUAGAGCGUUACUAUUGCUGACACAGGACGUCAAUCGUGCCAUCAAUCCACAAGUCAUCGUCACAGAAGUAUACGAUUUUUCAAACUUUCUUUUUCCUUUUUUACUUUGUCUCUUCUUUGUUCACCUAUGAAAGCUAGUAUUAUAUUGUAUAAACUGUUUGUUUUAUAUGCAUGUCCAUUAUAUUAUACUAUUA
rnacentral:lncRNA from 1 species